rnacentral:rRNA from 1 species
CCUACGGGUGGCAGCAGUGAGGAAUAUUGGUCAAUGGGCGAGAGCCUGAACCAGCCAAGCCGCGUGAAUGAUGAAGGAUCUCUGGUUUGUAAACUUCUUUUAUAUGGGAGUAAAGUGAGGAACGUGUUCCUUUUUGUAUGUACCAUAUGAAUAAGCAUCGGCUAACUCCGUGCCAGCAGCCGCGGUAAUACGGCGGAUGCGAGCGUUAUCCGGAUUUAUUGGGUUUAAAGGGUGCGUAGGUGGUUAAUUAAGUCAGCGGUGAAAGUUUGUGGCUCAACCAUAAAAUUGCCGUUGAUACUGGUUGACUUGAGUAUAGUUGAGGGAGGCGGAAUGCGUGGUGUAGCGGUGAAAUGCAUAGAGAUGACGCAGAACUCCGAUUGCGAAGGCAGCAUACCGGCCCCCGACUGACGCUGAGGCACGAAAGCGUGGGGAUCGAACAGGAUUAGAUACCCUUGUAGUC